rnacentral:misc_RNA from 1 species
ACAAAAAAAGGUUUCACUUUAUCAAUGAUGUCUUGUUUCAAGGGCAAUACAUCCCCUUGAAGAUGGCUGAGACAGAGAAAUAUUAGCCUCAAGGGCGAUACAGCCCUAGCUUCCAAUUGCUGUCUCACCUAGUCCAAAACACGUGUAUCAGGGCUGAUACACUACUAGUCCCUAAGACCUGCCAACAGAAUAUGGUCAAGAUUGUUUUUAUGCCAGACAAGAGGAUAUGUAGAAAGAGACCCAAGGGCAAUCAAAAUGGGAGAUUUAAUGUUUGAGCCAGAGUACAAUAGGCACAUGCCAGAUGAUGGGAAGACUCCCUUUGUCAACCUCAACAAGAUGCUGAAUGUUGUGGAGGCGGACUUUGACAAGGAAAGCUUAAAGCAAUUUAUGCAACGCAAGAUAGAUGUUAAUGAUAUUGCAGAACAGAGGUAAGCAUUAAUUACCAACACAAAAGAGAUGUCAAUAAUAUCACUGCACAUAUGUAAGCAUUUUUAAAUUAUUACCAGUAAUACUCACAGAAAUAAAUGUUGGAGAAAGUUUGCAUUGGUAGAUUGAUUACCUUAUUUGUUUAUCUCCCUUUCAAAGUCCAAAAACCAAGAUGGGACUACUAAAAUUCUAAAUACUUCAUUUUAUUUUCAUUUUAUUUCAUGAGUAGCUGUAGAUACUAUCUAUUACUGUAUGUCCAGUAAUUUUCACGAUUAUCUAAUUUUUGAUAUUUUCGUUAUUUUUUUUAAAUCGCAAAUUAUUGAAUAUAAGCAGAAAUUUUAUUCUGUAUCAUUUUCUAUAACUUAAGAAACUUUCUAAAUUGCAAAACAUGACCAACACAAAUUAAAAAUGCUACACAUUUUUUACGCCAAUUUUUUUACACACAAAAAAACCCUGGAUGUAUGGUAUUCUAUCAAUUCUGACAGAGACAGGCAGGUUCUAGCUGCUGCUUUGUAGUCUACUGACUCAUUUUAAAAUUAACACUGCCAAUGAAGGACUCUACAUAUAUAUGGUUUAAUUGUAGAGUGGAUGCGAAAACAAAGGAAAAAAUUGGUAAAGACUUAGCUGCUGCUUAUGUGGUUGUAAAGUCAGGGGGGCGUAUUCAGUUUGCUGGAAUGGACCGAUGGAUUGAAAAGAAAGGGAGUCAUAUACCACUACCUAAUCACAAUAUACCUAAUCUCAAAUUACAAGUGGCAGAUCUAACAGGCAGCUCCAUCAGAUAUGAAGGAUUAGCAUUUCUGGAAGGAACAUCAAUAAAGAUGCUGAUUCUAAGGGAUUGCCAGUAUAUUGAUGAUUUCUGCCUGUCUCGCCUGUAUAAGAUUAGCAAUACUCUGGAGUUCUUGGAUAUCAGUGGAUGUACCCUAGUAACAGAUAAUGGCCUUGCGGCUCUUUGCAAAUUGAGAAAUUUGAAAGGUUUACGGAUCAAUGAUUUACCAAAUGCUGGGAACAAGGCUUUGAUUGCUGCUUAUCUGUUAGAUGAAAACCCAGAAUUGAAUGUUCUUGGAGUGGAUCUUCCAUUAGAUCAUGAUAAAGAAAUGCCAGAAACAUCACCAGAGGAAAGUGGACAAUAUUCUGAUUCUUCAACCAAUUCCUCCAACAAACCACCUACAUAAUCAAGUUCAGGGAAGUCCUCAUGAAAAUGAUGCUGUAUUUGGCUUAACAUGUACCAAUUACCGGUAGUUGAAAACUUAUCACAGAUCUGUUUGCCUUGAUGAUGAAAGCGUUGCUGAUGUGAAAUGAAGUUUUCAGCAUAAAGUUGUGAAAAGGACAAAAGCAUUUUACCCAUAACAUUUGGAGACAGCAUUCUUAGGUGAUUGCCCUUUACUCUCUGUGAUAAUUUGAAGCCAAGAUUGAUGAAUCAUUCAUAUUAAUAUGCAUCAGACCUUACAAAUGCAUUUUUGUCUUUUAUGUCAAAUGAGAUUUAACUGAACAUUAUCAAGAUACAUGCAUUACCUGGUAAGCUGAUCUUUGUUGACAAGUUAGAGGAUAAGUUGGAGUAUCAGUCAGACUGCCGUUUUUUACGGUAGGCAUCAUCCAACAUUUGAUGCAUACCGGUAAAUCUUGUAUGUUUUUUAAUAUUCACUUUUAUUUAAGAUAUGUUUUUGAUCAAAAAUGAUUACAUUAAAA